rnacentral:rRNA from 1 species
UACAGAGGUCUCAAGCGUUGUUCGGAUUCAUUGGGCGUAAAGGGUGCGUAGGUGGCGCUGUAAGUCGGGUGUGAAAUUUCGGAGCUUAACUCCGAAACUGCAUUCGAUACUGCGGUGCUUGAGGACUGGAGAGGAGACUGUAAUUCAUGGUGUAGCAGUGAAAUGCGUAGAGAUCAUGAGGAAGACCAGUGGCGAAGGCGGGUCUCUGGACAGUUCCUGACACUGAGGCACGAAGGCCAGGGGAGCAAACGGG